rnacentral:tRNA from 10 species
GGUGGUAUAGCCAAGUGGUAAGGCAGAGGUCUGCAAAACCUCCACUCCCCAGUUCGAAUCUGGGUACCACCU